rnacentral:rRNA from 1 species
CUUCUUGGUCAUUUAGAGGAAGUAAAAGUCGUAACAAGGUUUCCGUAGGUGAACCUGCGGAAGGAUCAUUAAACGAGCCGGAGCCCUUCGGGGUCCCCGCCCACCCUUGCGUAUAUAUACAAUCGUUGCUUUAGCGGGCCGCCCCCGGGCGCACGGCCCCGGCCGUGCCGCGCCCGCUAGAGGACCCCCAACCCUGAAUGUCAGUGUCGUCAGAGUACUAUAUAAUAGUUAAAACUUUCAACAACGGAUCUCUUGGUUCUGGCAUCGAUGAAGAACGCAGCGAAAUGCGAUAAGUAAUGUGAAUUGCAGAAUUCAGUGAAUCAUCGAAUCUUUGAACGCACAUUGCGCCCGCUGGUAUUCCGGCGGGCAUGCCUGUUCGAGCGUCAUUGAAAACCCAUCCGGCCUUUCCGGGUCUUGGGCCUCGCCCCCGGGCGGGCCCCAAACGCAGUGGCGGUGCUGCCGGGCUCUAAGCGUAGUAAUACUCCUCGCUCUGGACCCCCGGCGGAGGCUGGCCAACAACCCCCUAUUUUUACAAGGUUGACCUCGGAUCAGGUAGGGAUACCCGCUGAACUUAAGCAUAUCAAUAAGCGGAGGA